CUUGAUGGAGCCGAUCAGCAGCGGCUUGCCCACGGGCCGGUCCUGGCCGUACGUGGCAAGCAGCGCCUGCGCCUC
rnacentral:antisense_RNA from 1 species